rnacentral:snRNA from 1 species
UCACUCUGGCUUCUCUUCAACGUAUGAUUCUUUCGCCUUUUACUAAAGAAUUCCGUGGAGAGGAGCAGUUCAAUGAGUCUUGAACAUUUUUCGGAUAUCCGACUUAACUUUUAUU